UACAUGAAGCUGGAAUCGCUAGUAAUCGCAGAUCAGCAUACUGCGGUGAAUACGCUCCCGGGUCUUGUACACACCGCCCGUCACACCAUGGGAGCCGGAAAUGCCCGAAGCCAGUGACCCAACCUUAGGGAGGGAGCUCGUCGAAGGUGGAGCCGGUAACUGGGGUGAAGUCGUAACAAGGUAUC
rnacentral:rRNA from 1 species